AAUUCGUGGUGCGGGCAUUUCUGAAUCAAUGUUUUUAAACGUUCCCAAGCCUCAUGGAAACUUUGUCCUUCCAUAUGUCUAAAAAUAAUAAUCUCUCUUCUCAAUU
rfam:Gossypium hirsutum cultivar TM-1 chromosome 22, whole genome shotgun sequence